ensembl:lncRNA
GGGAUAGAUGCGGGAGGAGGGGGGGGGGGGGGGCUUUGAAGUCUGCUGAAAGGUCUAGGAGAAGAAGAAGUGAAGUUGGGUGGGUGGUAGAAAUCCUGCCUGCCAACAUCAAACAGCGUUAUCGCCCACUUUCACCUGUUGACACUCAGGGGCGAAGACGCCGUGGAUCCGAGCGGCGAAGGCGGCUACGCCGACGACCGGCACGCGGAGUCGUCUUCCCGCAAGCGCGCUUGGGUUUCGACCGCUCGGCCCUUAAAAAUAAAAAAAACCAUAAAAAGUUAUUUUGGUCCGUUUCCAAAAAGAAAGAAACGCAACCGGCGGAGCUGCGGGGUCAGCGUGGCGUGCAUACAUGAACGUGUGCAUGCGAGCGUUAAAAUGUUUCCGUGCUUCACUCCCACGCGGAAGCACACAUGCAAGCAAACACACUUGACUCAAGUGUGCGGUUGAUUGUGGAAGAGGUCAUAAGGUCGUCAACUGAUUACUGAGCAAGUCGGGUAUAUUUUAUUCACAACGCAAGUUUGACUCGUUAAUUCUUUGUAACUUUAUUCUUCAACACCGACGGCGAGCAGGAGGAUUUGCGUUUGCCCUUUGGUGGAAAGUUUAAAACAAACGCGGACGUUUAGUGAAAUGAAUAAAUUCUGUCUCCAAAUGUUGCUAAUUACUACUUUUUUGGUACAAAAGCACAUUUUCCAGUUCAGAGACCUAAUUUACAAAUAGUAAAAAAAAAAUGAUAAUACUAUUCAAAAUAAAUUAUUAUUAUUGAGUGUUGAUAUGUGACAAUAUAUGAAACAAUGCACAUUUAUUUUACAGGUUACCACCACAAAUCCAUUUAAAAUGUUCAACACACACACAAUUCAGUCCACACCUCCUUGAAAAAUGAAGGUUUAUGUUAUUCGUUAUUUUACUUAGUAAAUACACUUCUCCUGUGCUUCGGGAGGAUGUUGUCUUUUAAAACUGUUUUUAAUAAAGGAAAAAGUAGAUUUGGGAUCAUUUUCACGGGCUAAUUGAGCACUGAAUUCCAAUCAUUUUUACAGCAUGAAGUUACAUGUUUUUAUAAUUAUUAUUUUGGAGGUUCCUCACACUUUUUGUUAUUGUUAGAAAUAAAAGAAUAACGAUUUAAAUAAAACAAGGUAAAAGCUCAUACUUUUCUUUAUUAAAGCCACGGAUAUAUUUUGUGUUGCCUCCUUCAUCAAGUUCCUAUCAAACCCCUGUUUAUCUAAACAAUUCAACAAACAACAAAAGACACACAAACCCGUUGUGUGUCCCGGCGGAGGCACAACGCACCUUCUGACCUGAUCUCAGCCACGCGGAGGCGUUUCCACUUCGGCGUCGGGCCUCACGCGGCACCAAGUCACUGCGUUUAACCAGUGUGAAAAUAAAAAAAAACGUCUGGGCCUCGACCCUUCGGGCUCAAGGGAAGGAUGAGGAGGAAACUGUUUGGCAAACAGGGCUCAGGAUUUUUGGUGUACAGAAAAUAGGCGGAUCAACUCAUGGGACGAGUGCAAGUGAUGCUCCUAACGUCCCAAACAGGCACCAGACGGAGGAGCGCUUCAUACGCACAUCCAGCGGAGUGAGCCCACAUUCACUCAUCCAUUAUACCGGCCUGGCACAUUUCAGACACACACUCAGGAAAGAGAGGGAUGGAGAGAGAUGUGUGGUGGGGGUAAGGGUGGGGGGUGGGGGGUUGGAGGAAAAGAGGGAUCCUUGAUUUUUAACGCCUGCUCACAAUGCAACGCUCCUGCAGGCGCCUGAGCAACACGUCUGGAGGCCUGUAAUUGUGCACACACAUCCGUCAUGGACCGACCGGGGCUCUCGUCCUCCGUCGCCUCCGAUCAGACGGGGGUUACCUGAUUACAGGUGGAGCGUAGUUCUUGUUUGAUGGUGGUGUCAAAGAAGGAGAGAGGGGAUCGCCACUUCUCCUCCUUCUGUGACUCCUUCGCCCGGCCGGGCUGAGGUGGGGCACGUUGGUGGCUGCGGGGAAUCAGGGAGGGAGCCAAGGUGGAGGGAAUGGAGGUGGGCCAGGGGAUGGGGGGGGGGGGGGGAGUAUGAUUCGGCCAUCACAUCGCGCUAACAAUUUGUGUCAGGUCCCUGGAGGUCCCCUAAUGAGCCCCACCGCCGCGGCCGAAGGCGAGAUCCCCGCGCCGGCCCACUGAAGUGAGAAGCCAGAAGAUCGGCACCUCGCAAUUAUUAAUCAGGCUUCUCCCUUUUCCUCCGUUCCCCUUUCACUCCGCCGGCUUUUGCUCUAUUCAGCAGUUAGUCCAAGUCUUCCUCUCGUUUCCUGCAGAUGUUCUUUGCAGCCCGACAUGCAGAAGUGUUCUUAUUAAAAGAGAGAGAGGGCAGAUUGUUGGACUCUGGUAAAGAAACAAGUGCUCCAGUUCUCCUCCACUGAGAUUCACGUACUGGAAGAUGGAGAUGUUCUCCACUUAAAUCGCAGAGGAAAAUGUUAGUAGGGAAUUUACAGAUCUGUACCAAAAUUUUAAAAAUAAAUGCAAUGUUUUUUUGGAGGAGUUAAAUGUUUUAUCUGGACAUUUAAACCCAAGGGUUUUAAACAACUUUGAAUACAUGAAGUAAACAAUGAAUCCUUUUUGUGCUAAUAAAGCUUAAUUUUGUAAGAAAUAUUUGAAUUAUGUCCCCAAAAAGAAAAUGGACCAUUUUUAGUAGCCACAAAAACGUUUUGCAUAAGUUACAUAAUUAUUAUUCAGUUUGUCUUUAUUUUUCCUGAUUUAAAAAAAAAAUCAGAUUUCCUUUUUGUAUUGAAUCUAUGUACCAUAUUUACUCUUUCUGUGGAGCAGUGCAUGAUUAGUAAGGACGAGUCUUCUCUGCCCUGCAAGUGGAAAUCUAGCAGUUAAGAAAAGGGAGACGAAGGAGAGGAGGAGGAAGAGACGGAGGAGGAGGAGGAGGAGGAGGAGGAGGGAAGCCCUUUUCAGCCUUUAACUCUGUGUCUUUUACUCCUUCAGGAGGCCGCGGGUAAACAAACACUUGUCAUGUUUACUCGGCUGCAGUCACCGAGGUGCUUGUCAGCGGUGGGUCGGGCUCGCUGCGGCACCGGGGCGCAUCUGAGUGGUCGGCGGGGGGUCCGAGGAGGCGGGACGAGAGGGGGGGAGUCCACGCGAGUCCAGGCUCCUUUUUUUUUUGGGGCUCAGCUCCCCGGCUGCUUGCAAUUACCCGAGAGGGAGAGCGAAAGUCGAAAAAAAACCCCGUCGGCGAAGGCCUCCCCUCGCACCCCUCGAGGCGCUCUAAUUACUCCACCAAGAGCCUGAACGUCUGUCGGGGACCAAUCAGCGGGCAGCCGGGAAGCGGGAGAGCGGCGUUCGUUUGUUUGCGAGGCAAACACUCGCCAGGUACUUAGCGCGCGAACCAAUGUUUGAUUUAUUAACGCGUGUGUGUGUGUGCAGGUCAGAGCGCCGCGCUUCAUCACGC